rnacentral:lncRNA from 1 species
AUUUGUGACCUAUACGUAUGGUUCGGGUUGAGAUCCAAGGAGCUCGAGAUGUCGGACUUGAUUGCAACUUGAAAAUAGUGCAAUAUUUUGUUGGUGCCAAUUAUGACUUACGCGGUUGCGGACCUGGAGGUCGCAAUCGCGGAGUGAAAAUGUGGAUGGACUGAGGGUUAGGCAAAAUGCCUUCGUGAUCACUUCGGGUGGUCGCGAUUGCGAAAAAAGAUUUUGGAGUUGAUUGAGUUUGAUCUUUGCAAUCGCGUGAGGAGGUCUGCGAUUGCCUAUAAAGCCUAACCUGGGUUUUGGACUUUGACAAAUUUCAGACUUCAUUCUUUGCCUUUUUGGAGAGGUGGAGCUCGUGGGUGAUUCCAAAAAUGGAUGGAUUUCAGCCUAAAUCAUUAAGGUAUUGAUUCUCUAAUACUCUAUGAUGAAUAUACUUGAUUUUGGUGCAAUCUUGACCACAAAAUCAUGAGAUUGAAAGAGUUAAUUGAGAAUUUUUGACAUAGUUUCCUAAUAUGAUUACAAUCAUAUACCUUAUUUUAAGUAUUUGCGUCCAAAUUAGUGUUGUUAACAUGUCCAUUAGUUGAUAGAGUCAUUUGUGACCUAUACGUAUGGUUCGGGUUGAGAUCCAAGGAGCUCGAGAUGUCGGACUUGAUUGCAACUUGAAAAUAGUGUAAUAUUUUGUUGGUGCCAAUUAUGACUUACACAGUUGCGGACCUGGAGGUCGCGAUCGCGGAGUGAAAAUGUGGAUGGACCGAGGGUUAGGCAAAAUGCCUUCGUGAUCACUUCGGGUGGUCGCGAUUGCAAAAAAUGAUUUUGGAGUUGAUUGAGUUUGAUCUUUGCAAUCGCGUGAGGAGGUCUGCGAUUGCCUAGAAAGCCUGACCUGGGUUUUGGACUUUGACAAAUUUCAGACUUCAUUCUUAGCCUUUUUGGAGAGGUGGAGCUCGUGGGUGAUUCCAAAAAUUGAUGGAUUUCAGCCUAAAUCAUUAAGGUAUUGAUUCUCUAAUACUCUAUGAUGAGUACACUUGAUUUUGGUGCAAUCUUGACCACAAAAUCAUGAGAUUGAAAGAGUUAAUUGAGAAUUUUUGACAUAGUUUCCUAAUAUGAUAAAAUUAAGAUUUGAGCAUGCAAAUGAACUGUAAAUGAGAAACUAAAUAUAGAUUUAGACUCAUGAGCUUAUGGGUAAUCAGGUUAUGUGGUUUAUUAUGAGGUUUGAUUAGUUUGAUUGAGAGUUAACUUUGAACGUCAACUUUGACUAUGACUUAUUUUAAAAUUUAAAAAUAGUUCCCGUAGACUAAUUUGGACUUGUUAUUCAAUAUUUGACAUAGAUUGAGGUGAUUGGAUGUAGUCUUGGUGGACUUGGGUUUUUCAAGUGAAGCUAAGGUUGACCAUUUUAAGGAAAGUGAGACUUUUAACCUCUCGAAUAAAUGCUUUCUUUUCAACGCCAUGAUUUAGAACUUGUAUGAAUGCUCUUAAAUACCUAAUAUGUUAAGUAGCGAGCGUGUAUUAGAGUAUUUAUACCAUUUUUUUUAGCUUAGAUGCUAUAUGUGUCGACGCAUUUCUCUUACGUAGUUGAGUUAUAAGCAUGUGUUAUAAUACCUUUUAUGAUAAACUGAGCAUAAUAUAUUAGUGUGUACUGAUUAUGAAGCAUUGAUAGAAUGUGUGUCCUUCCUAUACGUGUUAAGACUCAUAGCAGGACUUUGUUCUUAUCUAUUGAUAUUGUUAGCUUGCAUUGUUUGAUUUGUGUGUAUAUGUUUGAUGACUUGAGAUAUGUCACGACCCAAAUCCCUUCACGGGGUCGUGAUCGGCACCUAAUUUCCCAAAUUAGGUAAGCCGAUCACUUAAUAUUAUUUUUAAAAAUAAGCAUGAUAUAACAAAAUAAAGUUUAACAUCAAUGUGAAAACAGAAGUAAUACAGGCCAAAGCGGCAAUACUCAACAUAACUCCCCAGAACUAGGUAGUACAGAGUCACGAGCUCUAACUGAAUACAUGAGAAUAUUUCAAAAUACAGUAGUGUGUGAAAUACGCAAAUAAUAGAAAUGAAACAAAGAGGGUGACUCCGAGACCUGCGGUCGGAUCAUGCAGGGAUACCUUGAAGUCUCCGAUAUGCAGAAUGCCUCACUAACUAUCAGCCCGAUCCAAAGUACCCGGAUCUGCACAAAAAUAUACAGAAGCAUAGUAUGAAUACACCACAAUCGGUACCUAAUAAGUAUCAAGACUAACAUCGGUGGAGUAGUAACGAGGUUCCAAUCAUAUGAUACUCACUAGACAAAUAUUAUGUGCAGUGAAUAUAUCAAAGAAACUGACAACAUAAAUAUAACUGGAAACAACAACAACAAUCUCUUUAGAACGUGUAAUAACAACUCAGUGGAGUAAAACCCAUCUUUCAUCACAAUUAUCAAAUAGAGGUGAGGCAUGUGAUAACACGUCAAAUACAACAAUUAACUCAUAUAAGUGCAAAAUAAAAACUUUCAGAAACAAUUAUGUAAUAAAAAUAUCAAUCCCGUCUCAACACAAUCACAAUAACAAGAAGGACACCCAAAAUAUCACGUAACAUUAUCAGCAAUGCCACCCUUAUUCUGUCGCAUGUGCACAUAACAAUGAAAUGCCUCCCGUAUUUUUUCACAUGCGCAUAUAGCCACCCUUAUUUCGACACGUGGGCAGCUUGAGAUAACAUCACCCUUAUUUUGCCCCACGAGCACAAUAAUAGAUACAACCGCACGACAAAGACCUCGUACUGACACCCUCAAUCAAUCCGCUUAAUAUGUCCACAAGUGCCAUAAUACCAUAAAAUAAUAAUACCAAGUGUCACAAUAUCACAAACAAUGAUACCAAAGUUUUACCAAGAUAUAAGCUCACAACUUUCAACAAUAGUGCAUAAGGACAUAACAAUAAUCAUAAAAGUGUAGGGGUGUUCAAUAAAUAAAGCAUGACUAUUCAACGUAAUGAUCAAGAACAAAUAGUCAUAAAGUGGUCUCAACAUGUUUUAUAUAAAGUUCAUAAUCACAUUAAGACAUAUUAAUAGCCUACAGUCUAUUCUAGUCAAAAUCAUACAUAUUACCCACAUACACGCUCGUCACCUCAUGUACACGUCACGUUUUACAUCAUAGAAAUUAACAAAUUAGGGCUAGAACCUAAGGUGAGUUUUUCCACACAAGAUUAGACAAGAUACUUGCCUCAAACAAGUCAAAUCAGUACUCUAAAAAUCCCUUCUCGCGUGAAUCAACCCCCGGACAACUCGAAUCUAGCCAAAAUAACUUAAUAAUAUAAAUAGAAGCUACAGAAAAUAACACCAAACAAUAAAGCUUCGAUCUUGAAGAAAAAUAAAAAAGUCAGCUCAAAAGUCAAUCCGGACCCGUCUCUCAAAAUCCGACAAAAAUCAUAAAUUUCGAACACCCAUUAGAAUACAAGUCCAACCAUAGCAAUUUCAUCUAAAUCCGACUAUAAAUCUAAAUUCAAAUCCCUAUUUUUCAUUUAGAAAGUUUUUUAUUAAAACUUCCAAUUUCUUUACUUAGAUUCAUCAAUGAAUCCCUAAAAUCAAGGUUGGAAUAAUGAGUAAUACAUUAAUCCGAGUAAAAAAUGCUUACCCCAAUCCAAAUCGUGAAACUUUCCUCCAAAAUCACCCAAAUCUGAGCUCCCAAUCUCAAAAUGUAAUAAAUGAAAUAAAACCAAUGUUCAAGAUAUAUUUUGCCCAGCAUUUUCGCUUUUGCGGUCUCUCAGUCGCAUCUGUGGUACCGCAUAUGGUGAAAAACUUAUCGCAUACGCGGAAGCAACUUAAAUCCUAAAGAUCCGCUUCUGCGGCCAAAACAGCGCUUCUGUGAACCAAUAGGCGCACCUGCGAUGUCUUUUUUAUGACACGAAUACUGCACCUGCGGACAUCCAAGAGCCCAACCAUUAACGCAUUUGCGAUCCCUUGUCUGCUUCUGCAGACUUGCACCUGCGAACCAAAUGUAGCAAGUGUGAAAGCACCAGAACUGAUCACCCCAAACAAUCACAAAAUUCGAAGCCCAUCCAAAACUCAUCCGAGGCACCCUGGACCCUAUCCAAACACACCAACCAAUUCCAAAAUAUAACACAUACCUAUUUGAGGCCUCAAAUCACACAAAGCAACAUCAAAAUUACGAAUCGCACCGUAGUUCAAGCCUAAGGAACUAAUACAAAUUUCAAAAUUCAAAACUUACGUCGAACGUGCCUAAACACCUCAGAAUGACCUCAAAUUUUGCAUGCAUGUCCCAAUUACCACAAUGGACCUAUCCCAACUCCCAGAACCAAAAUUCGAACCCGAUAUUAACUAAGUCAAACCUAUUAACCUUCAACUUUCUAACUUUCGCCAAUCCAAGCAAAAAUAAUCUAGGAACCUCCAAAUCUAAAUCCAGACAUAUGCCUAAGUCCAAAAUUACCAUACGAAACUACUGGAACCAUCAAAAUAUCAUUUUGGAGUCGUCUACACAAAAAUUAAACUUCGAUCAACUCUUACAACUUAAGCCUCUAACCAAGAGACUAAGUAUCCCAAAUCAAUCCAAAACCUCCCCGAAACCAAACUAACAAUCCCCCCAAGUCACGUAAGCACAAAUACACAUGUGUAAAGCAUAAAAUGGGGGAAACAUGGCUAAAACACUCAAAAUGACCGAUCGGAUCGUUACAUUCUCCCCUCUUAAAUAAACAUUCAUCCUUGAACGAGUAUAAAGACAUACCUGAAGUGCCAAAAGGUGAGGAUAUCGGCUCCGCAUAUCAUGCUCGGUCUCCCAAGUCGCCGCCUUGACCAGUUGACCUCUCCACUGAACCUUCACUGAUACAAUGUUCUUUGACCUCAACUUCCGGACCUGUCUGUCCAAAAUAGCCACCGACUCCUCAUCAUAUGUUAAAUCCUUGUCCAAUUGCACUAAGGUGAAAUCUAAUACAUGUGAUAGAUCACCAUAAUACAUCCGGAGCAUGAAAACAUGGAACACCGGGUAAACUUCUGAUAAGCUGGGUGGCAAACCAAGUCUGUAGGACACCUCGUCGACUCUCUCAACAAUCUCAAAAGCACCAAUAUACCGAGGGCUCAACUUGCCCUUUUUUCUGAACCUCACACACACUUUUCAUGGGUGAAACUCUGAGUAAAACCCUCUCACCCACCAUGAAUGCCACAUCAAGAGCACUCCUAUUAGCAUAACUCUUUUUCCUAAAUUGUGAUGUACGAAGCUGCUCCUAAAUUAACUUCGCCUUCUCUAAAGCAACACAUACCAUAUUAGUGCUCAACAACCCAGCCUUCCCAGGCUCAAACCAACCAACCAGAGAACAACAUCACCUCCCAUAUAAGGCCUCGUAAGGAGCCAUCUAGAUACUCGACUGAUAGCUACUGUUGUAGGAGAACUCUUUUAGCGAUAGAAACUGAUCCCAAGAGCCCCCAAAAUCAAUGACACAUGCAUGUAACAUGUCCUCCAAAAUCUGAAUAGUGCGCUUGGACUUUCCGUCCGUCUGUGGAUGAAAUGUCAUUCUCAGCUCGACCUGUGUGACCAACUCAUGCUGCACGGCUCUCCAAAAAUGCAAUGUGGACUGCAUGCCCAAAUCAAAGAUAAUAGACACCGGCACACCAUGAAGGCGAAUAAUUUCACGAAGAUAAAUCCGAGCCAGCUGCUCUGAAGAGUAGGUAGUCAUGACUGGAAUGAUGUGUGUAGACUUAGUCAGUCUGUCCACAAUGACCCACACUGCAUCGAAUCUCCUCAAGGUCUGUGGAAGUCCAACUACAAAAUCCCUAAUGAUACGCUCCCACUUCCACUCCAGAAUAUCAAGCCUCUAAAGCAGACCACCUGGUCUCUGAUGCUCAUACUUCACCUGCUGACAGUUCAAACACCCAAAAACAUACUCGGCAAUAUUCUUAUUCAUCAUAUGUCACCAAUAGUGCUGACUCAAAUUAUGGUACAUCUUCGCGGCACCCGAAUGAAUGGAAGACCGCAAACUAUGGGCCUCCUCAAGAAUCAGCUCCUACAACCCAUCCAUAUUUGGAACACAGAUCUAGCCAUGAAGCCUCAAUACCCGAUCAUCCUCAAUAGUCACCUCCUUGGCAUCACCGUGUCCUAAGGACAAGCAAGUGGGUAUCAUCAUAUUGAUGCACCUUGAUGCGCUCAAACAAACACGAUCGUGAAACUAUGCAAGUGAGAACUCGUCUAGGCUCUGAAACAUCCGACCUCACGAACCUGUUGGCCAAAGCUUGAACAUCCAAAUCUAAUGGUCUCUCCCCAACUGGAAUAAAAGCAAGACUCCCCAUCCUCUCAGCCUUCCUACUCAAAGCAUCGACCACCACAUUGGCCUUCGCCGGGUGAUAAAAAAUGGUGAUAUCAUAGUCCUUUAGUAGCUCUAACCACCUCUGUUACCUCAAGUUCAGAUCCUUUUACUUGAUUAAGUACUGAAGACUCCUAUGACCCGUGAACACCUCACAAGACACUCCAUAGAGAUAGUGCCUCCAAAUCUUAAGCGCGUAAACAAUGGCUGCCAACUCCAAAUCGUGCACUAAGUAGUUCUUCUAAUAGGGCUUCAACUGACGCGAAGCAUAAGCAAUCACUCUACCCUCAUGCAUCAACACACGUCCAAUGCCAAUCCGUGAAGCAUCACAAUAGACUGUAUAAAAACUCAAUGCUGAAGGCAAAACCAGAACUAGAGUUGUAGUUAAGGCAGUCUUGAGCUUAUGAAAGCUCUCCUCACACUCGUUAGACCACCUGAAUGGGGCACCCUUAUGAGUCAAUAUAGUCAAAGGUAAUAUUAUGGAUGAAAAGUCCUCCACAAAGCAGCGAUCUCAGUAGAUGUAGAAGGUCUAGGCCAACCCUGAAUUGUCUCAAUCAUCUUCGGAUAUAUCUUAAUCCCAUCACUAGACACCACGUGGCCCAAGAAUGCCACUGAAUCAACCCAAAACUCACAUUUGGAGAAUUUAGCAUAUAGUUUUUUUCCCCUCAAAGUCUGGAGCACAUUCCUCAAGUGUUGUUCAUGCUCCUCUCGGCUACGAGAAUAUACCAAUAUAUCAUCAAUAAACACAAUAAUGAAGGAAUCUAGACACAACUCAAACACGUUGUUCAUCAAGUGCAUGAAAGCUGCUGUGGCAUUGGUUAGCCCAAAAGACAUCACCAAAAGCUCAUUAUGACCAUAACGGUUCCUAAAAGCCGUCUUCAGAAUAUCUGAAGCCCGGAUCUUCAACUGAUGGUAUUCCGAUCUCAAGCCAAUAUUCGAGAAUACCUUAGCACCAUGGAGACGAUCAAAUAAAACGUCAAUACGCGGUAACCUUGUUCAACCGCCUAUAGUUAAUGCACAUCCUCAUAGAACUGUCCAUCUUCUUCACAAAUAGAACUGGAGCACCCAAGGUGAGACACUUGGUCUGAUGAAACUCUUAUCAAUCAACUCCUGAAGUUGUUCCUUUAAUUAUUUCAACUCCACUGGUGCCAUGCGAUAUGGUGGACUAGAGAUGGGCUAAGUGCCUGACACCAAGUCAAUACCAAAAUCAAUAUUCAUAUCGUAUGACAUGCCUAGUAGGUCUGCUGGAAACACAUCUGGAAACUCUCACACUACAGGAACUGACUCAAUGGUAGGCACUUCAACACUAACAUCCCUCACAAAGGCUAAGUAUGCCAUGCACCCUUUCUCAACCAUUAAUUGUGCCUUCAGAAAAGACACCACCCUACUAGGAACAUGACCCAUUAAACCUCUCUACUCUAACCUCGGCAACCCCGACAUAGCCAAUGUCAUAGUCAUAGCAUGACAAUCAAGAAUAGUGUGAUAUGGUGACAACUAAUCCAAGCCCAAAAUCACAUCAAUAUCCACCGUAUUGAAAGUAACAGAAGAUUAACCCUAGUCUCAUAGCCCCCAAUAGUGACGAAACAAGAAUGAUAGACCAAUACACCAUAAUAGAAUCCCCAACGGGUGUAGACAUAUAGACAUGAGUAUCCAAAGAAUCACAAAACAUAUCCAAAUAUAAAGCAAAAUAGGAUGACACAUACAAAUAAGUAGAUUCCGGAUCAAGUAGAAAUAAUGCAUCUCUAUGACAGACCAGAAAAAUACAUGUAAUGGCGGGAUCUGAUGCAACUAACUCAGUUCUACUAGGAAAAGCAUAACAACGGGCCUGGCCUCCCCCUCCAGGACAUCCUCUACUCGCUUUUCCUCCACCCUCAGCUAGAUGUGCAGCUAGAUUAGCAACAGGAGUGGGAACCAUAGCCUGAGUACCCUGCUGAGGUCCACCCCUCCGAAGUCUGGGACAAUCUCUCAUAAUAUACCUAGUAUCGCCACACUCAAAACAACCCCUCUGCAGGCGUGGCUACUAGUACUGCGUCAGACGACUACAGUAACCACUACAUGAACCCCGUGCAGAAGAUUCAUUGAAAGGUGGCUGUCUAAUAUGAGUAUCUUGAGGUCCCUGAUUAGCUGGAGCACGACGAGAAACCUGAAGUGCAGACUAAACUGGUCGACUGAUAAAACCUCUGCCAUGACAGAGUUUGCCUCCAAAGUAGGAGCCCCCAAGUCCUCUAAAACCACGAGGCUUCUUAGCCUCCCUAUCCUCCCUCCUAACCACGGAUACACUCUAACCUCCUAGCAAUCUCUACAACCUGAUGAAAUAUAGUAUCAAUCUCCAACUCUCGUGCCAUCCCAAAUCUGAGACCUUAACCGUAUCCCUCAAUAAAUCCGCGGACUCUCUCUCUAAUAGUGAAAACUAAAGCAGGUGCGUGACGAGAUAACUCAGUAAACCUCAUAGCAUACUCGGACACAACCAUAGUCCCCUGGCGCAACUGCUCGAAAUCAGUGCGCAGCGCAUCCCUGAGGGUCUGUGGAACAAACUCUCUCAAAAAGAGAUCAGCGAACUGAGCCCAAUUAAGUGGCAUUGUGCCAACUGCCCUACUCUCCUCACAUGCCUUCCAUUAUUUAUAUGUCGGCCCUGUCAGUUAGAAAGUAGUAAGGCCGACCCCGCUCAACUCCACUAUGCCCAUAGUGAGUAGAAUAUGGUGACACCGGUCAAGGAAACCCUGUGCAUCCUCAGAAGGCCCACCGCUAAAAUGAGGAGGAUGGUACUUCUAGAACAUUUCUAGCCUCUUGUGCUCCUCCUUUGAUGCAGCUGGACUGACCUGGGGCUGAGCCGCAAUCACGAGCUGCACCGGCAUAACUCUCGUAGCCUGGUCGACAAGAGCCCGCUGCUCUGGAGUACGGGCGGUGGGAGUCUAAGCACCCCUCCCCCAGCCUGAGAAGUAGCUGGUGCUACUAGAAUCAUUCCCGCCUAAGAUGAGGUACCAAACAUACUCAGAAAAUGUGCCAAAGUCUCCUGAAGUCUAGGGGUAGUAACAGGCGCAUCAGGUGCUUGCUCCCAAACUAGAGCUACUGAUGGUUCCUCAGAUGCUGCUCUAGCAGGUGCUCUAGUUGUAGCACGUGCACCACCUCGGCCUCUGCCUGUGCCCUGGCCACUAGCAACACCGGCCCUGGGUGCAUCAUCAUUAGUAACUGAAGCUCGUAUCCUUACCAUAUAUGAGAGAACAGAAAGAAAAAGGCUCAACUUUGGAAAUUAACAAAUCCGUAUGAUAAGGAAUGAAAGAAGUGAAAUUUCCUAAUAUUUCUAUAGCCUUUCGAAGAUAAGUAUAGACGUCUCUGUGUCGAUCCGCAAGACUCUACUAAACUUGUUCAUGACUCAUAGAACCUAUGAACCUACAGUUCUAUACCAACUUGUCACGACCCCAAUCCUCCACAGGGGUCGUGAUGGCACCUAGUAUCCCAAACUAGGUAAGUUGGUCACUUAACGUUAUUUAAAAUAAUAAAAUCAUGAUAUAACGAAACAAAGUUUAACAUAAAUGGAAAAAAGAAAUAAUUUAUGCCAAAGCGGCAAUACUUAACAUAACUCCCCAGAACUAGGCAGUACAGAGUCACGAGAUCUAACUGAAUAUAAGAGAAUAUCUCAAAAUACAGUAUUGUCUGAAAUACAUAAACAGUAGAAUUGAAACAAAGAGAGUGACUCCGAGGCAUGUGGUCGGAUCAUGCAGGGAUACCAUGAAGUCUUCGUUAUACAAAAUGCUUCACUGGCGAUUGCCCGAUCUGAAGUACCUGAAUCUGCACAAUAAUAUGUAGAAGUGUAGUAUGAGUAGACCGCAAUCAGUACCCAGUAAGUAUCAAGACUAACCUCGGUAGAGUAGUGACGAGGUUCAAGUCAUAUGAUACCCACUAAACAAAUAACAUGUGCAGUGAAUAUAUCAAAGAAAUUGACAACAGAAAUAUAACUGGAAACAACAACAACAAUCUCUUUAGAACGUGUAAUAACAACUUAGCGUAGUAAAACCCAUCUUUGAUCACAAAAUAUCAAAUAGAGGUGAGGCAUGUGAUAGCACGUCAAAUACAACCAUUAACUCAUAUAAGUGCAAAAGAAAAACUUUUAGAAAUAUUUAUGUAAUAAAAAUAUUAAUCUCAUCUUAACACAAUCGCAACAACAAGGACACUGCGAAAUAUCACAUAACAUCAUCAACUAUGCCACCAUUAUUUCACUGCAUGUGUACAUAAUAAUGAAAUGUCUCCCUUAUUUUGCCACAUGCGCAUCUAACCACCCUAAUUUUGCCACAUGGGCAGUUCGAGAUAUCGCCGCCCUUAUUUUGCCCCACGACCCAACCACAUGGCAAAGACCUCGUGCUGACACCCCCAAUCCGCUCAAUAUGUCCAUAAGUGCCAAAAUACCACAAAACAAUGAUACCAAGUGCCACAAUUUCACAAAUAAUUAUACCAAAGUUUAACCAAGAUAUAAGCUCACAACUUUCAACAGUAGUGCACAAGGACAUCAUAAUUAUAAAAGUUGAGGGAUGUUUAACAAAUAAAGCAUGACUAUGGCUUAGUCAAUGUAAUGAUGAAGAUAAAAUAUUUAUAAAGUGGUCUCAACAUGUUUUAUAUUAAGUUCAUUAUCACAUUAAGGCAUAUUAAUAACCUACGGUCUAUUCCGGUCAAAACUACACAUAGUACCCGCAUACACGCUCGUCACCUCAUGUACACGUCACUUUUUACAUCAUUAAAAUCAACAAAUUAGGGCUAGAACCUAAGGGGUUUUCUCCACACAAUGUUAGGUAAGAUACUUACCUCAAACAAACCAAAUCAGUACUUUAAAAUUCCUUCCCGCGUGAAUCAACCUCCGGACGACUCGAAUCUAGCCAAGAUAACUUAAUAAUAUCAAUACAAGCUAUAAAUAAAUAACCCCAAAUAAUAAAGCUUGGAUGUUGAAUAAAAAUAAAAUAGUCAACUCAAAAAGUCAACCCAGGCCCGCCUCCUGGAACACGAUAAAUUUACAAAUUCCGAACACACAUUCGAGUAUGAGUCAAAUAGUAGCAAUUUCAUCCAAAUUCGACGCCGAAUCGGGAUUUAAAUCCCCAUUUUUCGUUUAGAAACGUUUUUACUAAAAUUCUCAAUUUCUUCACUUAGAUUCAUCGAUGAAUCCCUUAAAUCAAGGUUGAAAUCAUGAAUAAUAAAUAAUAUUAGUCAAAAAUGUUUACCCCAAUUCAAAUUGUGAAAAUUCCCUCUAAAAUUGCCCAAAUCAGAGCUCCCUAUCGCAAAAUGUGAUAAAUUAAAUUAAACCCUAGUUCAAGAUAUAUUCUGCCCAGUAUUUCUGCUUUUGCGGUCCCUCAGUCGCAUCUGCGGAAAAAUCAACGUAGAUGCGGAAGCAACUUAGAUCCCAAAGAUCAACUUCUGCCGCCAAGACUCUGCUUCUGCGAACUAAUAUGUGAUGUCUCUUUUGCGACACGAAGACCACACCUGCACACACCCUAGAGCCUAGCAAAUAACACAUCUAUGGUCCUAUGUCUGCUUCUGUGGACUCGUACCUGCGGACCAAAUGUCACAGGUGCAAAAGCACCAGAACUGAUCACCUCAAACAACCACAAAUGAUCUGAAGCCCAUCAGAAACUCAUUCGAGGCCCCCGGGACCCUGUUCAAACACACCAACCAAUCCUAAAAUAUAAUAUGAACCUAUUCAAGGCCUCAAAUCAUACAAAAAAAUAUCAAUAUCACGAAUCGCAUCUCAAUUCAAGCCUAAGGAACUAAUCCAAAUUUCAAAAUUCAAAACUUACGCCGAACGUGCCUAAACAUCUCGGAAUGACCUCAAAUUUUGCAUGCAAGUCCCAAAUGCCACAAUGAACCUAUCCCAACUCUCGAAAUCAAACCCGAUAUCAACCAAGUCAACUCUCAGUCAAACAUAUCAACCUUCCAAACCAUCGACUUUUUAACUUUCGCUAAUUCAAGCCAAAACAACCUUGGAACCUCCAAAUCCAAAUCUGUAAAUACUCCUAAGUCCAAAAUCACCAUACAAAACUACUAGAACUAUCAAAAUACCAUUCCAGAGUCGUCUACAUAAAAGUCAAACUCUAGUCAACUCUUACUUCUUAAUCCUGCAACCAAGGGAUUAUGUAUCCCAAAUCAAUCCAAAACCUCUCCGAAACUAAACCAACCAUCCCCGUAAGUCACGUAACCAUAAAUACAUAUGUGUAAUGCAUCAAAUGUGAAAAAAAGGAGCUAAAACAUUCAAGACGGCCGGUCGAGUCAUUAGAAGAUGAUGCUACCAUCAUGCGACUAUGGAAUGGUACCCAAUUAAUGCACAGUCCGAUUAUUACCAUAAUGGCUAUCACACCUCUUUUUUUCAGGGAUGGGUCUUGACACAUAAUUUUGACCCUCUGUAUAACUUCUGCAGGCUUUCUAGUCACUAAAUAACUUUUUGACACAUAAAUUAACUUUUGCAGGCUUUCUAGUCACUAAAUAGUAAAAUAUAUCAUUUUUACACAUUUUUAACCUUAAUGAAAUUUAUUGAUAAUUAUUCCUAUUUUUACCAAAAUACAUGAGUUCUUAUCAAUUUACUGUAAUUAUUUAAAUACUACAACUUUUGUGUAUUUUUUUAAAAUUCAAAAUAAUUUAUUGAUAAUUGUCCUAUUUUCAAAGUAUUAGGAUUUUUCUAUCAAUUUAUUUUCAUUUAAAAAAAUAAAAUGAUUACUACAACACUAUUGUAGUAGUUGAUAUUUUUAAAUAAAUAUCGCAAGCCAUAUAUUUUAAUUAAAUAAUUAUAUUUUAGUUGGUAACAUAGUCUAAUAAUUACAUGGGAAUCAGUAGAAUUUAUCUCAAAAUAUGGAUUAAGUCUAGUCAAAUUCAAUGUCCCGUCAACGUCCGAUGUGACAGAACACUUGAUGUGACAUGGCAUGAUAAAACAUGUGAUUUGACAGCACAUGUGAUGUGUCAUGACAUCCCUUUUAUCCAACGUGGAAAAUCUCUACCCAAUGAGUAAAGGCCAUUAUUUUGUCUUUUCCUAUAAGCUAAAUAAAUUACACUGAUAUAUAUAUAUAUAUAUAUAUAGAUAAAAUAAAGGAAAACACUAUUUCAUAGUGCAUGGUAUCUAGCACAAGGUAUUUGGGCCCAUGAUUUUUGCCCAUAGUUUUAGGUUAAUGGUUUUACAUAUGACCCCCAUAUUUUCUUUUACAUUUAACAUUUAUUUCACAAAAAAUGAGGACCACAUAUUUUAAUAUGUAUAUUUUUCUUUUAUAUUUUAUCUUCUAAAUUUUGUCAAAUAAAAAUGUCCAAACCCUAAAACCAACACUCACUCUCUUAGAGAUACACGAAAGGGACACAAGAAUGGAAAAACAAGACGAGGAUGCCCAGAAAAUUCACCAUAGGCGGGCACUAUUGGUACUCCAAAACAUGAUCAAAGGAUGAGCUAUGGAAUGACAACCCAAUGCAUUUCGGUACUUCAACUUCACAUAUACGGACUCAUACAAAGUUUUCUACAUAUCAACGCUGUAAAUCACAACCAUACUUCCUCAAACUAUACUGGUUCAAUUACGUGCAAAACUGUUGCACAAUGGAAACCAGUAAGGAUACCCGUGGUUGUGCUGUGUUUUAUCUUGAUGUAUGUGUACUUCUGGAUCCUAGACAUCAUGAGGAAGAAAUAAUGACAUGGGAUUAGAUUGGUAGAUGCAAGGAGAUAGAACAUAUGAAACUAGAAAAUGGCAAGACAGAAUACUUUGCGAUACAACAUGCUACCAGAUAUGUGGAUGAAAACAGGAGAUGCACAUACAAGGAAGAUGCAGAUUCAGCCUGAAAAACGAAAAUUGUGGCUACAGAACUGGAUUUAAUAUGUUCAUGUCUUUUACGGCGAAGGGAAGAUGGCAAGAGUUGCAACAAAAGAAGAUUACAUAUGGGCAUCAAUUGCGAAGAAUUAGCAUGGCUAUUUUUUAUAACUCAGUUUAAUUGCUUUAUUAGAUUGCAUAUUCUAAUAUCAGUGUCGAGUACAUCGUUCAACAUUGAUAAUUGAAACUGUGUACUCGUCAAAGUUUAUUUCUUUCAUCUUGUAAAACCUCAAUACAUUUCAUUUUGUUUUUAAGUUAUAUAUACAAAAACUAACCC